GUGGGGAAUAUUGCACAAUGGGCGCAAGCCUGAUGCAGCAACGCCGCGUGAGGGAUGACGGCCUUCGGGUUGUAAACCUCUUUUAGUAGGGAAGAAGCGAAAGUGACGGUACCUGCAGAAAAAGCACCGGCUAACUACGUGCCAGCAGCCGCGGUAAUACGUAGGGUGCAAGCGUUGUCCGGAAUUAUUGGGCGUAAAGAGCUCGUAGGCGGCUUGUCGCGUCUGCUGUGAAAACCCGAGGCUCAACCUCGGGCCUGCAGUGGGUACGGGCAGGCUAGAGUGCGGUAGGGGAGAUUGGAAUUCAUGGUGUAGCGGUGGAAUGCGCAGAUAUCAGGAGGAACAUCGAUGGCGAAGGCAGAUCUCUGGGCCGUAACUGACGCUGAGGAGCGAAAGCAUGGGGAGCGAACAGGAUUAGAAACCCGGGUAGUCC
rnacentral:rRNA from 1 species